rnacentral:lncRNA from 1 species
ACUGACUUCACUUUUAGUGUUCGAUUCUGUGGCAUCAAGUUUGUGUGUGACAAAGGAUUGGACAAUACUUAGAUGUAAUUCUAUAGGUACUUUUGAAUUUGUUCUCUGAUCAUAAUUGAAGUUUCAUCUCUGUAAUUUCUAUGUAAACGUUUAGUACAGGAAUUAUUGAGAUGAAACUAUAAUUUUUAAUUGGAGAACACUAAAAACACCUACUGAAUACUAUAUGUAAGUUUUGUCCUUCAUGAAGUGGUAAUUAUAAUGUUGAGGGAUGACUGAAUAAAUUAUACAUGUGAUAGUGUCUUACAGAGAUUUUUUUUUUAAAAUUGAUUCACAGGCUCAGGGAGCUUCAUACUCUGAAAGGACAUGUUGAAUCAGUAGUGAAGCUGAAGGGACUUGACAUUGAUACAAUCCAACAGCAUUAUACAGUUUAAGGAAUUUGGACAACCUUCAAGCAGAACACACUUUGGUGCUUAUCCAAGAACAAGAACAACAAAUGUAAUGAAGACCUAAGUUAAUCCGUCUUUAGAUUAGGAUGAAGGUCCUUUUGUCAGUCAAAAUCUGAAUGGUUUACUCUUCUAUUCCAUACCAAAUAACGUGGUUGAUAGGAUUUACUUUUCGUCUUGUUUUGAGAAUGUUAAUGAUAUCUAGGUCACUUUAAGGCUCUAUAUAUAUAUUUUUUUUUUCUGAUGAAAAAACUCAAUAUAUUUCCGAUCUUGAUUAAUGUUGCUCAAUAAUGAGUUCAAUCUCCAUGUUUCUUUUUUGCAUUCGUUCAUGUUCAGCCUAAAAAAGAUGAGUGAGUGGUGGAAGCACCAACGUACACCUCACCAUUGAAAUUAAACAGAAAAAUUUAGUAUUUGAUAAUUUAAUGAGAGGAAAAUAAGAGUAGUAGUACAGUUAACCAUUGUGCUUGUUUCUCUUUUCUAUCUUUAAGUUUCUUAACCAAUGAGAGGAAAAAUGAAUGUUGUGUUGUUGGAUGAAAACAACUGGUUUCAGGAAGUUGAUAAAAUAUCUCUUCUUGCUCAUUAUUAUAAUUAGGUUCUUACUAAUUUAUUAAGGAAUUAAAAAGAAAAACUAUUUAGUGUGGGCUCUUGCUAUAUACAUCUCCUUUUUUCUAAGUAUACCCUUAUAUCCCCUUUCUACCUCUUAAUUACCCAUUAUACCCUUUUUCUUAAGAAGUACAUGGUGGUUACUGCAGCCGCAAUCUUCUCUGGUAAGCAUGAGCAAACCCCACUUAGUAUUCGCGCCUUCAUUCACUCUGAAAUCAGUUUUCUCUUAACGCUGUCGCUUACAAAACUUGAAUAAAAACAAACAGUGACUUUGCGGGAACGUGCGUUUGUUUCAAUUCAAUGGCGGGAGGUAAAGGGAAGAAGGAAAAGGGGAAGCUCCAGCAGCCGAAGCACAUGCCUUACCAGGGCGGAAUAUCGUUCCAGAAGUCAAAGGGUCAGCACAUUCUCACCCCUUGCUCGUCGACUCAAUUGUGCAGAUUCACUGAAGGAAGCAGAUACUAAAAUGGACUUCUCUAGUUUUGAUGAUGAUCAAGGUAUGGAGAUGGAUGAUGACAUGGAAGUUGAGGAUGGGGAAGCAGAUGAGGUGCAAUCUGAAUUCAAGGACAAGAUUUUGGGUGUUUUGAAAGAGGGAGAUUUUGCAGAGAAGAGGUCGUCCAAGCUCACAUUGCAGGAAUUCCUAUACUGUUUAACAAAGCUGGCAUACACUUCUCCUUAUUUUAGAUGGUCAAUUUUCUUGAUAGUUUAUUCCCUGUUUAAAUCUACACCAUUCUUUCAAAUUAGGCUUUCAUUAUUUGGCAGUUUUCUAAGAGAGUGGGAUCAGAUAAACUGUUAACGAUUUAUGUUGAGCUCAUUCAUGGAUGUAUACUACUCUAUAUAAUCUAUAGCAGGUUUGAUUAUGCGGUUGUUUUAUCGCUUUACGUGGAUCUGCAUUUGCAACUUACUGUGUGGUGUUUGCAAAUGGUUAAUGAUGCUAUCAUUUUCUCUUUUUGAUGCACCACCCUGAUUGAUAGUCUGAAUUGUGGUUUAAUGGUUGAGGCAUAUUACAAUACAGAAAAAAACCAAUAUUUAGUUACAUGAUGUUUUGUCACAAAGGUUAAAUUUAUAAUAUUUGGUGAUUUGUCAUUUGAGACAUACGAAAUUCUAAAGUAGAAUUAUAGACAUCUCUUAGACCUGUGUGCUUGUGCUGUUAUUGAUGGUAUUAUUAAAUGUUCACUAGCUCAACGGAGUGAACAUUAGACCCCCUUUGGCUUUCUUCAUGAUUGACAGGUGACAACUUUUCUAGCAGUAUAUGCUAAUUGGGGCUUUGCAAGAAUUCAGGGAAUGGGAUGGGGUUGGGCUGGUGUAAUCUGGCUCUACUGUGUAUUGACAUAUAUCCCUCUAGAUAUUCUCAAAUUCGCAAUCUGCUAUGUUCUGAGUGGGAAGGCUUGGAAUAAUCUUUUGGAGAACAAGGUAAUUUCUUCAUCUCCGUUAUUAUUUUAUUACAAAUUGCAUUGUUGAUCUUAAUUCAGAGACUUUAAAGUUCAAAACCUGUUUAUGACAGACUACCUUCACUACAAAGAGACUAUGGCAAAGAAGGGAGAGAAGCACAGUGGGCAACUGCACAGAGGACUCUUCAUGGUCUUCAGCCACCUGAAACAGCCAACCUUUUCAAUUACAAGAACAGUUACAGGGAGCUUUCAGAGAUUGCUGAGCAAGCUAAGAGACAUGCUGAGGAUGCUAGGUAAGCCACUGACUUCACUUUAACUGUUCUAUAGUAUGGCAUUAAGUUUGUGUGUGAAAGGAUUUCUAUAGGUACUUUUGAUUUUGUUCUCUAAUCGUAAUUGGAGUUUCAUCUCAGUAGUAAUUUGUAUGCAAACAUUUAUUACAGCAAUUUCUGAGAUGAAACUCUAAUUUUUAAUUGGAGAACACUAAAAGCACAUACUGAAUACUAUAUGUAAGUUUUGUCCUUCAAUUAUAAUGUUGAGGGAUGACUUAAUAAAUUAUACAUGUGAUAGUGUCUUACAGAGAUUUUUUAAAUUGGUUCACAUGCUCAGGGAGCUUCAUACUUUGAAAGGACAUGUUGAAUCAGUGAAGCUGAAGACAUUGAUACAAUCCAACAGCAUUAUAAAGUUUAAGGAGUUUGGACAACCUUCAAGCAGAACACACUUUGGUGCUU